CAAUAUCUCACUCAUAAUCAGUAAGGUUUCUUACUUUUCUUUCUUCUGCUUGUGUGUUAGUGACACCAACAUACAACCCAUAGGCUCUUUUCAGAGCCACAUCGCCCAGCAUCCUUGGCUUUCUCCUACAUACACCCCAAGGCUCUUUUCAGAGCCACUCGCCCAGCAUCAUUUAGCAUUAUCUUGUGUCACCCUCCACUGCUGCCUCCACAGAGU